GCAGUCACGCUGAGCUUAAUCACUACGAGCUCGUGCUCCCGCCGGCGGCGCUCACCCUGUCCGAGCAGCGCGACCCGGAGGGUUUCUCUUGAGGUGGCUUGUUCUGAAAUGCCAAAGGCACCCGACUAUUCAGAACCGAGUGACUCUUGCACGCUUGCUGGGGGAACAGGAAGAUUUUCGGGACCAUUGCACAGAGCAUGGAGAAUGAUGAACUUCCGCCAGCGGAUGGGAUGGAUUGGAGUGGGAUUGUAUUUGCUAGCAAGCGCAGCAGCAUUCUACUAUGUUUUUGAAAUCAAUGAGACUUACAACAGGCUGGCUUUGGAACACAUUCAGCAGCACCCUGAAGAGCCUCGGGAAGGAACCACAUGGACACACUCCUUGAAAGCUCGGUUACUUUCCCUGCCCUUUUGGUUGUGGACAGUUAUUUUUCUGAUACCAUACUUACAGAUGUUUUUGUUCCUUUAUUCUUGUACAAGAGCUGAUCCCAAAACAGUGGGCUACUGUAUUAUCCCCAUAUGCUUGGCAGUUCUCUGCAAUCGCCACCAGGCAUUUGUGAAGGCUUCCAAUCAGAUCAGCAGACUACAACUGAUUGACACAUAAAGCCGGUCACCGUUUUGUCCCUAUGAUUACAAGACUGCCAUUACAUUAUGGAGGUUGAUCACAAGACUACAGUUUCUUCACAAAUCUCAGGAAGUUGUGGUGGAACAGAGACUUAAAAAAUGUGACAAGAGGACUACUUUAUCUGAAUAAUAAUGACUUUUUAGGUUGGGCCCUAAAGCAGCUGCAUGGACGUGAUCCUUGUACCUUCUGCACUUUUAACAUCUGUGCCUGGUGCCAGUACAGACCACUGAAGAGACUGUUCCUGGGUGAGAUCAGGGUGUGCAGUGAUGAUAAUACUAAAACAUUUCACAGUAUUUUAAUAACCAUGGGUCUUUACUCCUAAGCUACAGCAACCCUAUGAGCUAGCAGCACUUUAUUACCUGUGCUUUGCAGCCGAGGAACAGGAGGCAGAAAAGCAGCUACCAUGGGUCAGUUACUGAGCAGCAAAGCCGGGUAAUCAGCUGACGCCUGCUUCUCACCACUGACACACCACCCCAUGCUAUGUACUUAUGGCAACUAUCUGUGUAUACUGCCUAUUGACUCAUACGGAAAAUGGAAACGAGUAUUAGUGAAAGUUUUUCUCAGUUUGUACAUCUGCAAGCUGUCUCUGCUUUUUGUGUUGCUUGAGAUUGAACUCAGGCCCUUGUUCAUAUUAGCCAACUCUCAACCACUUGGAUGUAACCACAGUCCCAGAGGCUUUUCGGAACCCCAUUUUAUGCUGUAUUUGAGAAGAGAGGCUAAGAUUUCCAUGGCAAACCUUAUUUUUUUUAAAGACAUUUUCUGGCUGUCCUGACACUCAGGUUGGCCUUGAAAUCAGAGAUUCACCUGGGGGGUGGAGGACUAAUGCAUGCAACACCAUGCCUAGAUCAACCCCUCCCCCCAUUUCUUUAUAUAACUGCCCCGGUUGUCCUGGAACUCACUUUGUAGACCAGGCUGGCACUGAGAUUUGCCUGUCUCUGCCUCCAGGAGUGCUGGGAUUAAAAGCAUGCACACGACUUUAGUUCCAGCACUUGGGAGGCAGUGAUCUCUGAGUUCAACGACAGCCUGGUCUACAUAGAGUUGUAGGACAGUCAGGGAUACCGAGAGAGCCUGUCUCAAUUAACCAACAAAACCAACUCAAUUUAGUUGCUGAAAUAAUACAUCUUUUGCUAUAUUAUCUUCAGUGCUCCAGGGAAAAAGUUUUGACACCUAUUUCUGUGAAUCAGUUUCACCUUUUGAGUGCUUUUGGUAGGCAUGUUGCAGAAAUGUUUUAGAAGCCUUCUAUAUUAACUCCUCCACUCCUCCAUUCCUGAGGCAGGCGUUAUACUGGCACGAGUGCCAUUUUACAGGACUCUGAAGCAUGCAGGGAUAAUAACCUGUACAUGGAAAUGGCAACUAACUGGAAGAGCCAUGUUAGUUGGAAGAGCCAUAGGUACAUGGUAGCACAUGCCUUUCAUCUAGCACUUGGGAGGCAGAGGUAGCUGGAUCUCUGAGUCUAUUCUACAUAGUGAGAUCCUAUCUUAAAACAGCAAAAUCUUCAGAAGAGCUAAGACUUGAACCCAGGAUAUCUGGCUUCAUGGCUCUGUACUUACAGAAAAAUUAGUGUUUCCCUUUUUAUUAGUAUUGAAGUAGCAAUAUUUUAAAGAAAUAUCAUUUUGUCACAAUAGGGUUUCCCUGUAUAGCUCUGGCUGCCCUGGAACUCACACUGUAGACCAAGUUGGCCUUGAACUCAGCUGCCGGCCUCUGUAGGAAUUAAAGGCAUGUGCCACAACACCUAGGUGAUAUUUUAAAUUUGUAAGGAAAAUUAUUUUAAUUACUUUUCAAGUAGAAUUAUUACAAUAUUUCCAAGUGUAAUUAAUUAUUAAUAUUUAGCUUACAAGGUUAAUCUGCUCUUAUGUAAGUUAUAUUUACUUAUCUCUCUGUGAGGCCAGGUGCCAUAGCGUGUGUAUAUGUGGAGGGCACAGGACAACCAUGGGUGUGUUUUCUCUGGUACUAUCCACUUUGGUUUUGGAGACAGGGUCUCAUUGGCCUGGAGCUCACCAAGUGGCUAGGCUGGCCAGCCAGUGAGACCCAGGGAUCCCAGUCACCACUGGGACCACAUAGCUUGGCUCCCCAACACCCUUUAAAAAAACAAAACAAAAAAUGUGGGGUUUUUCACACAAACAAUUCUGCAAGCACUUUACCAGCAGUGCUAUCAUUUUAUUUGCAAUCCCACCUGAAAACACACAAUCCACUGAAGGUUUUCAUUGAAAUACUUUAUUGUUUUUCAAAAGUGCAGGCAGGCACAGAUAACUAUAGAAAUCUCUAUGGCACUUUAUUCACCAUUACACACUUUUGACUUAGGAGAUGUUCUAGUUUUAAAGUAAAAAUCUCUCAAGUAUAGAAUCUGACUCUAUUUUACUAUCUUUAAGAGGAAUACAAAGUUUGUUUUUGGUGGAGUCAUGAUAUAAAGUGCUUAUACGAGUAACUCGCUGCUCCUGUUUUUAUGGCAUGGGUAGUGUCAGUCUCUUGUUAAAUACUCAGUGCUAACGACUUAGCAUCUUCAGUCCCUGAAUUCCUGGCAGAAGCACUUACUGUGAGACUUCAUCAUUCAUCCUUUUAUCAAGUGUGCACCACCAUGUUACAAAUCCUCCCACACAUGAAGUCCUACACGACUUUGGAUUGUGGUUGGAAAUCACCAUGUAUUUUGGUGUAAAGUGGUGGGGAAAAAAAAUAAUGUCAAGGUCCCAGAGGUGUGGCCCCAGAUCAUUUUGUCUUAAAUAUUUCAGAUGCUUCCAUUAGGGUUGAAAAGAACUGGUCAUCCAUGGUGUUUUAACGUAGCAUUCACAGAAGAUUUAAGUUAGAGCUGUGCUUAUCCUUGGAACAGUAACAGCAAAUGUUCCGUAGAAAGUUCACUUGAGUCAUUUGCAUUUUUAAAAUUUUUUGUUUUUUGAGACAGGGUUUCUCUGUGGCUUUGGAGACUGUUCUGGAACUAGCUCUUGUAGACCAGGCUAGUCUCGAACUCACAGAUCCUCCUGCCUCUGCCUCGGAGUGCUGGGAUUAAAGGGGUGAGCCACCACCGCCCAGCUCAUUUGCAAAUUUUAUCUACAUUUUCUUGAUAUCAAAUCUUCCCUGGGUUGUUCUGAAUAUACUUCUCUCAGACUUUUGCCAAAACUGCUCACUGGUGACCAUUAAACCCAAACCCAAAGACCAGGUCUUGAUUCUAGAGUUACUUUUUGAAGAGUUUCUGACACCUCAUCCUUUACUUUCUCCAGCUGGCUUUUAGGUCAGCACCAUCAUUAGUGAUGGAUGUUCCUUAGCUGCCUUCUCAUUCAGGAACCAGGAGCCAAGAGAAGCAGCCACAAAUGGCCAGGAGCUGCAUAUAUUAAGUGGCUCAGUUCUAGAUAAUUUUCUGGUUUUUCAUCUUCCUCUUGCUUGCUUGCUGCUGCUUUGAUGAAUUCUUUUGGGGAUCUCCUCCAACUCUACAUGUUGGUAUGCCUCAGUUCUCUUCUUAGGCUGUCUGUCAUUUCGUCCAGUCUUGUGGUUUUAAGUCCCCUUUUCCAGAGUCUUACUUGAAUAUCCACCACCUACUUGUUUUUGCUUUCUAAAGUGGAAUCUCCCUAGGUUACCCUGGAUGGUCUUGAACAACUUCCCAAGCAGCUAGGAUCACUUGCAUGCCUACACUUCAUGUAUUUACUCGCAGGCUCAUGAAAUUUAAUCUUUCUAAAACCAAGCUGUCAAUGUCAAUUUUAACAAAACCUGUUUUUCAAGUCUAGUGUCAAUUGUGCCACAUGCCUGCAAUCCAGCACUUUGGGAAGAGGUAGGAAGGCCAGUUCAAGGACAAUCUCAGCUACAAGUCAAAUUGGAAACCCUGUCUAUGGCUGGGCGUGGUGGCACACACCUCUAAUCCCAGCAUUCAGGAGGGAAACAGACAGAUCUUUGAGUGAGGCUAGCAGAUCUACAGAGCGAGUUCCAGGAAAGCCAGAGGCCACACAGAGAACCCCCAUGUCAAAGAAUUCCUAAUCAGCACUUCAUGUCAUUCCCCACUGCUCUUUGUAAAUUCUACUCUAGCCACACUAAUCUUUUCCUUUUCUGAAGUCUCAUACUAUGUAACCCAGGCUGACUUUAAACUUAGGCUCCUCAUGCCUCUGCCUCCAGAGUGCUGGGAUUACAGACGUGUUUCCUUGCCUGGCUCCAGUGGUCUUGACUCUUGACUUUGGAACAUUUCAAUAAUUUUUUUCCAGGGCCUUUGUACUCUGUGUUUUCUUCAGACUAUGGCUCAGAUGUCACCUUAGUGAGACUCUAACUGCCUAAUUGAAAGCAAACAUUCUUCCUAGUCUGACUUUUCCCUACAGUACUUAGCUAUCCUCACAGGGCCACAUCUGCACUUCCUCAAAAUCUUGGAUUUCUGUCCUGUAUUGUGAUGGGCCCUAUGCUUACAAAAGUAACUGGUACAUGUUAGGUGUUGAGUAUAUACUUAUGAAUGCGUACUUCUCUUGUUAUACUGUAAAAACCAAUCUAAUUCAUUCUCCCUAGAGAGCAAAGCCAAAAGCUAGUAUCUACUAUUAAGUGUGUGGCCUAAUCUAUCAUGUGUUCCAGUUUAAUCCAGCUUUUUUAGCUCUCAGGAUUCACAGCCAAGAUUAAACUCUCCCUCAAUGUAUUUUUAUUUUGAGUUCUUGUGGUUUCCCUUAGUGUUGUUGAGAAAAAAACCAUUUGCAAUGUUUUCUUUAUUAAGUGGACGGCUAGAGCCCUCAAUAAAUUUGUUUCAGUCAUGAAAAUUAUAGUUUCCUAAACCA